rnacentral:lncRNA from 1 species
UACUCAAUAUGAUUUCAUUAUAUCAAAAUCUCACAAAUCCAGAACAAGUCUAAAUAAAAAAUAAUGUUAUUGAAAUAUAAAUACAAUACUAUAUAUUAAAAUACUAAUACAAAAGUGAUUCAUUUAUAUUUUAUACGACACUAUAUUUUUUUUUUAUGUUAUAUUUUAUAUUCCAAAUAACAUUAUUUUUAAACAAAAUAGGAUAACUGCCCAAUUGAACAAUAUAUAAAAUUAUAAAAACACACUAAACUAUUUAACUUCAAAAUAAUAUCAAAAGGGUUUCAAGAUUGCCUCACAAUAGUUUGACCAUGAAUAUAAUGUGACUUUAUAUUUUUUUGGUUCACCACACAUUUCAAUAUGCAUAUGAUUGUUUCUAUCAAAAAUUAAAAUUUUUGAUAUCAUUGUGUUAAAUUAAAUCCAUAAACAGUUUUAGUUUUUGCCUUGUUCAUUUGCAUAUAUAGGUAAUUAUUCCUAAAGGAAUAUAUAUUCGAUAUCAUUGUGUUAAAUUAAAUCCGUUGUGCAUGGUUGAAUUAAAAGAGUUUGUUCAUCAUGAGAUCUUGAGGUUCGACAAAUACUAUGAUCAUUGGGCAAUGCUCAUGGAGAAUCUCAUUGGAUUAAAGGAGUAUUGGACCUAGCUGGUUGAGAAUGGGAUUCCAAUGGUUGCAUCUAGUGCCACCCCUGAACAACUCAAGAAUUCUAAGUCAAUUCUAAAUAGAGACAUAUCAAAGGCAAUUUGAGACUCAGUAAAACAAAAAUGUCUAAGCUCUCUUAUGGUGUAGAGAGCACAGUUACAAGAUUUGCGAAAAGAAUUUGAUAUUCUUGGAGUGAAAGAAGUGUUGGAAUCAGAUUGGUUCUAGGAACAAUUCUUUCAUCAUGUUUUGAUGAUAACAAGUGUAUUUUGUGAGAAUAAUUUAUUGCACUAAUUGUUUCAUUAACUGUGCAGAAAAAUAGAACAAGAAUCAGAGGAAGAUAUCAGAGGAAUAUAUCAGAGGAGGAUAUCAAAGGAAAUAUAUUAGAGGAAGAUAUCAGACAUAUCAGAGGAUGAUAUCAAAGGAAGUGAAGAUGUCAGAGGAAACGAAGAUAUCAAAGAAAGCAAAGUCAAAGUAGUCAACACAAGGCUCAUACUCAGGUUGGUGCUUGCUCUAAAAUCUCUUACCAAAGUGCCUCUAAAUUUUAUGGACGUUUUAACUCUAAAGACUGAAGCAUGCCUUUGAAAUUUGAAGAUUACCUCUAAAGAUUGUAGCAUGCCUUUUGAGAUUGAAGUAUAUCUUUGAAGAUUCUUCUUAGCAUGCCUUUAAAUCGCCUACAUCAUGUUGGCUCUUAAGGUUAUUUUCCAUUCACUCUAAAUACUACAACCUGCUCCAAGAUGAUGCCUCUAAUACGCAGUAUACUCUGCAAAUACACUGACUCUAACGAUGCAACAAGGGGAUAUUGUUCAAUCCACUAAUUCUAAGUUAUGCAGUUCUGCCUCUGACUACUUGAACAAAGCAAUACAACAUAUUACUCCAAUGAACAAGUCAUGGUUUAAUUCAUUAUCAAACGAUAUCUCAACACUCUCGCACAAAAGCAUUCUAAAAGAUUUGGUUGAAAAUUAGUUUUGGAAUUAAUCAACCUUCAACGGUUACAUUCCCAAACUGUAUCUAUCAAGGAUUAUUUUUUGUGAAGAUCUUUGUUGACAAAGCUGCAAACAGAUACGUUCAGAUUUUAAUUGGGACAUGAUUGAAACCUUAAUUCAUGCUAUAUAAUGGGAUCAAUCCGAAGAAAGAGAAGAAGAUAACAAGAAAUACAAUAAUACAGCUAUGCAUACAAAAACUAAGAAAUUCUAAAGUAUUCAAAUUCAAAGUUUCAAGCAAGGAACUUGUUCAACUUUAUAUCAAUAAGGGCUUAGUACUUUGUUAGUGUGAAAAAUUUUGUUAUCAAAUAUGCUUAAAAUUUUCACCUCAUUGUAACAUAGUCCUGUAGUGGCUAUAGUUUGCCUCAAUGAAAGUUUUAAGUUAUAAAUUCAUAAGGUUUGAGUUGUAGGGUCAAGGUAUAGUUUUUCCUCACACAGUUUGUUGGUUUUGAGAAAAUUGACUUGUAAUUUAUGAUUGAAUUAGUGGAUAAAUCAUUCUUUUUGAAAGGAGUGGACAUAGCUUCCACGUUGGUACUGAAACAAUAUAAAUUAUGGUGUCAUCCCUCUGCCCAGUUACUUUGUUUUAUUGACUCCUCUGGUCUAUUUAUUUAUCUGUUCGUGCAUCACUAAAUCAGAAUUAAAAAGAAGUAAUCUUAACACAAAAUACAAUUCAAC